rnacentral:rRNA from 1 species
UACAGAGGGCGCGAGCGUUGUCCGGAAUCACUGGGCGUAAAGGGCGCGUAGGUGGCCACCAUAAGGCCGCGGUGAAAGUUCGGGGCUCAACCCUGAAUCGGCCGCGGCGACUGUGGGGCUCGGGUACUGUAGAGGCAGGUGGAAUUCCGGGUGUAGCGGUGGAAUGCGUAGAGAUCAAGAGGAACACUCGUGGCGAAAGCGAGCUACUGGACAAUUCCUGACGCUGAGGCUCGAAGGCUAGGGUAGCGAAAGGG